rnacentral:tRNA from 1 species
GGCGCAAUAGCUCAGUUGGUAGAGCAGUGGUCUUGUAAUCCAGGGGUGCGCUAGUGCCC